rnacentral:rRNA from 1 species
GACGAACGCUGGCGGCGUGCUUAACACAUGCAAGUCGAACGGAGUGGCGAACGGGUGAGUAACACGUGGGUGAUCUGCCUUGCACUUCGGGAUAAGCUUGGGAAACUGGGUCUAAUACCGGAUAGUGCAAGAUGAGCUCGCGGCCUAUCAGAUUGUUGGUGGGGUAAUGGGCUACCAAGGCGUCGACGGGUCGCCGGCCUGGGAGGGUGUACGGCCACAUUGCGACUGAGAUACGGCCCAGACUCCGACGGGGGGCAGCAGUGGGGAAUAUUGCACGAUGGGCGGAAGCCUGAUGCAGGGACGCUGCGUGGGGGAGGGAGGCCUUCGGGUUUUAAACUCCUUUAGACAGGGACGCGGUACCUGUAGAAGAAGCACCGGCUAACUACGUGCCAGCAGCCGCGGUAAUAC